GACGAACGCUGGCGACGUGCUUAACACAUGCAAGUCGAACGGAAAGGCCCUGCUUUUGUGGGGUGCUCGAGUGGCGAACGGGUGAGUAACACGUGAGUAACCUGCCCUUGACUUUGGGAUAACUUCAGGAAACUGGGGCUAAUACCGGAUAGGAGCUCCUGCUGCAUGGUGGGGGUUGGAAAGUUUCGGCGGUUGGGGAUGGACUCGCGGCUUAUCAGCUUGUUGGUGGGGUAGUGGCUUACCAAGGCUUUGACGGGUAGCCGGCCUGAGAGGGUGACCGGCCACAUUGGGACUGAGAUACGGCCCAGACUCCUUCGGGAGGCAGCAGUGGGGAAUAUUGCACAAUGGGCGGAAGCCUGAUGCAGCAACGCCGCGUGCGGGAUGACGGCCUUCGGGUUGUAAACCGCUUUCGCCUGUGACGAAGCGUGAGUGACGGUAAUGGGUAAAGAAGCACCGGCUAACUACGUG
rnacentral:rRNA from 1 species